CUGAAUUCAGCUAAGCUCCUGUGAACCUAUGCCUGAAGAACAUAAGUAGCAUCACGGUUUAAGAUCCUGAGGACAGAAAAUGGAUGUUUGAAAACUUUUCCUCUCACAUAUUAAUUAGACACAUGGAACAAAUGCCACAGAUGAAAGAUGACAGCUUUCGGUCACUGGGUAAGCUGGCGGUGACACAGAAUUGGAAGAGUAUUUCACAGAGAACCCGCGCUCCAGGGCUGCCAGAGUAAGCAGGAAAACAGAUGAUUCCGAAGCAAAAAUGGACAAAAAGCCGA